AGCUAUUAAUAGUAUUUUGAUAUACACAUAUAAGUAAAUACUUUUGUUUUGUUUUGUUUUUUUUUAAAUAAAUUAUAAUAUAUAUUAUGACUUUUUAAUUUGACACAUGACUUAUAUUUAUGUGUAUGCUCAUUCUUUAAAUUUGAAAAUCCAUAAUAUAAAAUUAUUAUAUUAAUAUAUAUAUAUAUAUAUAUAUAUAUAUAUAUUUUUUUUCUCAUGUAUCAUAAAUAUAUUUUAAUUCUUUACACAGGGGCUUCAUUGUUCAGCUCUAUUUUUUUUUUUUUUUUUUUUUUUUUUUAUUUAACUUUUAAUUCUUUUCAUUAGUAUUUUUAUUUAUAUUAAAUUAUUUUAUUAUUUUUUUUUUUUUUUUGUACUAACUUUAUUUGUAACCGAUUUUUACUGUUUAUAUGUAUAUAUAUAUAUUGCAUCUUAAUUAUCGCCAUCCCAUUUUAUUUUAAUUCUCCUUUAUAUAUAUAUAUAUAUAUAUAUUUUUGUUGCAUAUUGUAUUUCUCAGAGGUACACUUUUGAUGUUUAUAAAUUUACAUAUUAACUUUUUUUUUUUUUUUUUUUUUUUAUUUCUUUUUCUUUUUGUUUUUAUACAAGGAUGUAGUUCUAUUUUUCUUAUUACAUUUUAUUUCUUUUUUUUUUUUUUUUUUUUCUUUUCUCCUUUUUUUUUCCAAACAUUCUUAUUUUUGAGUGUUUGAAAAAAUAGAGGAGGGAAAAAAAAAAAAAAUAAAAAUAAGAAAGAAAAAGAAAAAAGAAAAAAUGAUCAUCGAAAUCCUUAGAAAGCAUGGGAAGAAAUUCUCACCCUGAACCCAUAAAGUAGCUGAUUGUUUGCUCAUAAGUACCUGAAUUAUUGCGAUAAUGAAAGAAAAGAAAGGAAAAAAAACAAUAGCAUAUGGUUUGAUUCUUUCUUUUUUUUCGUAGUUAAUAAUCAUGAACAUGAGGUUGUAUAUAGGAUUAGAGCGGAAGUAAAUAAAAGCGCUUAUUUUAUUUUUACAAUAAAGCUCAUUGUCUUUUUGUAAUUGUAAAAAAAAAAAAAAAAAAUGAAAAACAAAAAACAAAAAUAAAAAGAGGAAAAAAAAAAAAGAAAAGAAAAAGGAUAGAGACAAGGAGAAUUCUCCUUUUUUUUUGUCUAUGUUUUUUUUUUUUUUUUUUUUUUUUUUCCUCUUUUUAUUUUUGUUUUUUGUUUUUCAUUUUUUUUUUUUUUUUUUCAAGAAAUCAAAAAGAUCCUUAUACUUCAAUCAGAUAACCAAAUGUUGCGCUAUUAAUAUCUCUCAAGUCGACCAGGAGAUAAUGUUAUCUUAAUUUUUUUUUUUUUUUUUUUUUUUUUUUUUCCUUUUAAUUAUUUUAUAAUUUUUUUCUUUUUGAUGUUUUAUUAUUUUUUUUUUUAUUAUUAUGGUUGUGAGAUAUAUGUAUUAAUACUUUUCUCAUUUGUUUUUUUUCUUUUGCACACCAAACAUUCAUUUUUGAAUGCCUAAAUACAAGAAGGAAAGGAGGAGAUGAGAGAAGGAUAGUAUUUAUAUGCUCAUAAUUAUAAUAUGAAAGGAAGAGGGUAAAAUAUUAAAAAGGGGAAAUUAUUAAAAUAUUAAGGGGGAAAAAAGAAAAAAAAAAAAAUGAAAAAUUAGAUAUACACACACGGAGAAAUAAUAUAUAUAUAUAUAUAUAUAUAUAUAUAUAUAUAUAUAUAUAUAUAUAUAUAUCAUUUCGAAGUAAGAAAGAAAAUUUAAUUUAAUUUUCUUUAUAAAUAUGGUCGGAAUCUAUCGGCAUUUAUUUCAAGAAUUUAUAUAUAUAUAUAUUUAUAUAUUUAUAUAACUUGUUGAAAAAAAUGUUUUCUUUCAUGGAGCUGUUAACUCAGCGUGAAUACAAUAACAGGUUGUUUCAUUACACACAUGAAUACGAUGGAAAAAAAAAAAAGGCGAAGAUACAUUUCAAAUAUAUUUAUAUAUUCAGAAAUGAUAUCGAAAUUCGAUCUGCCUAAAUAAAAGAAAUUCAGAAAAUAUCUUUUUUCUUUUAUAAUAGUUAGCACAUUUUAAAUGAACUAUGGCAUGUCAGGGUUCAAAAUAUAUAUAUAUAUAUAUAUAUGUGAGUGUUUUUUCUUAGCGAUUUCUUAUAUGAUGAUCUUAGAAAUAUAUAUAUAUAAUUAAAAUUAUUACUCAUUUAUGAGGAAUAUAACAUUGUAUUAAUUAUUUUGUAUA